GUGUCAGCCGCCGCGGUAAUACGUAGGGUGCGAGCGUUAAUCGGAAUUACUGGGCGUAAAGCGUGCGCAGGCGGUCUGUUAAGACCGAUGUGAAAUCCCCGGGCUUAACCUGGGAACUGCAUUGGUGACUGGCAGGCUUUGAGUGUGGCAGAGGGGGGUAGAAUUCCACGUGUAGCAGUGAAAUGCGUAGAGAUGUGGAGGAAUACCGAUGGCGAAGGCAGCCCCCUGGGCCAACACUGACGCUCAUGCACGAAAGCGUGGGGAGCAAACAGGAUUAGAAACCCGAGUAGUCC
rnacentral:rRNA from 1 species